rnacentral:rRNA from 1 species
UACGAAGGGGGCAAGCGUUGCUCGGAAUCACUGGGCGUAAAGGGCUCGUAGGCGGUCUGUUACGUCGGGAGUGAAAACUCGGGGCUCAACCCCGAGCCUGCUUCCGAUACGGGCAGACUAGAGGUAUGCAGGGGAGAAUGGAAUUCCUGGUGUAGCGGUGAAAUGCGCAGAUAUCAGGAGGAACACCGGUGGCGAAGGCGGUUCUCUGGGCAUUACCUGACGCUGAGGAGCGAAA